rnacentral:rRNA from 1 species
ACGGGUGAGUAAUGUCUGGGGAUCUGCCCGAUAGAGGGGGAUAACCACUGGAAACGGUGGCUAAUACCGCAUAACGUCGCAAGACCAAAGAGGGGGUCCUUCGGGCCUCUCACUAUCGGAUGAACCCAGAUGGGAUUAGCUAGUAGGCGGGGUAAUGGCCCACCUAGGCGACGAUCCCUAGCUGGUCUGAGAGGAUGACCAGCCACACUGGAACUGAGACACGGUCCAGACUCCUACGGGAGGCAGCAGUGGGGAAUAUUGCACAAUGGGCGCAAGCCUGAUGCAGCCAUGCCGCGUGUAUGAAGAAGGCCUUCGGGUUGUAAAGUACUUUCAGCGGGGAGGAAGGCGAUGGGGUUAAUAACCUUAUCGAUUGACGUUACCCGCAGAAGAAGCACCGGCUAACUCCGUGCCAGCAGCCGCGGUAAUACGGAGGGUGCAAGCGUUAAUCGGAAUUACUGGGCGUAAAGCGCACGCAGGCGGUCUGUUAAGUCAGAUGUGAAAUCCCCGGGCUUAACCUGGGAACUGCAUUUGAAACUGGCAGGCUUGAGUCUUGUAGAGGGGGAUAGAAUUCCAGGUGUAGC